AGGUCCCAUUCCAGGAGGCUUUUCAUAUAGAAGAUGAGUGGACACCAACUAGAGACACUGGAGCAAGGGCCCCACAGUGUGACAUUUGGUUGUCUCUUGAUGGGGGAGGGAAAGUGUGCUUUUGUGUACAAGUAUGAGAUAGGUGGAUUCUAUCAUGUGGAGGAUAUUGCUUCUCAGCCUUUUGGCUAAGAUCAAGUGUAGUAUCAUGAGGAGUUUUCUUCGAAAUUGUGGAUUUCCACUUAUGUAACUAGUGGUGCUAUUAUGUGCCCAGCACGAAGGCUAGUAGACCUUGAGAACCUGCACCUAGAAGAGGAAUGGAUAUCACCUGAACGUACCUGAAGAACAGCCCACAACGUGAUAUUCAGUUGUCUCCUGCUGGGAAGGGCGUGAAUGUAUUUGUGAUUAAAUGAGGGAGAGGUGGAUUACAUUAAAUGGGGAGACCUUCAGAAUUAGCAAUUUCUGCUAAUGGAGCAGGGGGUACCAGCAUGUGCGGAGCGACCACGAUGUGUACUGGAUGCAUUAAACCUCUCCUGAAGGGU
rnacentral:lncRNA from 1 species